UACGUAGGGUGCAAGCGUUGUCCGGAAUUAUUGGGCGUAAAGAGCUCGUAGGCGGUUUGUCGCGUCUGCUGUGAAAACUCAGGGCUUAACCCUGAGCCUGCAGUGGGUACGGGCAGACUAGAGUGUGGUAGGGGAGAUCGGAAUUCCUGGUGUAGCGGUGGAAUGCGCAGAUAUCAGGAGGAACACCGGUGGCGAAGGCGGAUCUCUGGGCCAUAACUGACGCUGAGGUGCGAAAGCUAGGGUAGCAAACAGG
rnacentral:rRNA from 1 species